AAAUGAAUAGACGGGGGCCCGCACAAGCGGCGGAGCAUGCGGAUUAAUUCGAUGCAACGCGAAGAACCUUACCAAGGCUUGACAUGAACUGGAAAUACCUGGAAACAGGUGCCCCGCUUGCGGUCGGUUUACAGGUGGUGCAUGGUUGUCGUCAGCUCGUGUCGUGAGAUGUUGGGUUAAGUCCCGCAACGAGCGCAACCCUCGUUCUAUGUUGCCAGCACGUUAUGGUGGGGACUCAUAGGAGACUGCCGGGGUCAACUCGGAGGAAGGUGAGGACGACGUCAAAUCAUCAUGCCCCUUAUGUCUUGGGCUUCACGCAUGCUACAAUGGCCGGUACAAUGGGUUGCGAUACUGUGAGGUGGAGCUAAUCCCAAAAAGCCGGUCUCAGUUCGGAUUGGGGUCUGCAACUCGACCCCAUGAAGUCGGAGUCGCUAGUAAUCGCAGAUCAGCAACGCUGCGGUGAAUACGUUCCCGGGCCUUGUACACACCGCCCGU
rnacentral:rRNA from 1 species